UACGAGGGGAGCAAGCGUUGUUCGGAUUUACUGGGCGUAAAGCGCGCGUAGGCGGCUUUGCAAGUCGGGUGUGAAAUCCCCAGGCUUAACCUGGGGAACUGCAUUCGAGACUGCAUUGCUAGAGUAUGGGAGAGGGAAGUGGAAUUUCAGGUGUAGCGGUGAAAUGCGUAGAUAUCUGAAGGAACAUCAGUGGCGAAAAGCGACUUCCUGGACCAAUACUGACGCUCAUGUGCGAAAGCGUGGGGAGCAAACAGG
rnacentral:rRNA from 1 species